rnacentral:rRNA from 1 species
UACGAAGGGUGCAAGCGUUACUCGGAAUUACUGGGCGUAAAGCGUGAGUAGGUGGUUUCUUAAGUCUGCUGUGAAAGCCCCGGGCUCAACCUGGGAAUUGCAGUGGAUACUGGGAAGCUAGAGUGCGGUAGAGGGUAGUGGAAUUCCCGGUGUAGCGGUGAAAUGCGUAGAGAUCGGGAGGAACACCAGUGGCGAAGGCGGCCGGCUGGGGGCGCCCUGACGCUGAGGCGCGAGAGCGUGGGGAG